GGUAAGAUGGCUGAGUAAGCAUUAGACUGUAAAUCUAAGGACAGAGGAUAGUGACCUCUUCUUAUCA
rnacentral:tRNA from 2 species